GAUGAACGCUAGCGAUAGGCUUAACACAUGCAAGUCGAGGGGCAGCACAAGGUAGCUUGCUAUCUGGGUGGCGGCCGGCGCACGGGUGCGUAACGCGUAUGCAACUUGCCCUAUACAGGAGGAUAACCCGUCGAAAGACGGACUAAUACUGCGUAUGCUCACAACUUGGCAUCAAGUGGUGAGGAAAGAAAUUCGGUAUAGGAUAGGCAUGCGUCCCAUUAGCUUGUUGGUGAGGUAACGGCUCACCAAGGCAACGAUGGGUAGGGGAACUGAGAGGUUUAUCCCCCACACUGGUACUGAGACACGGACCAGACUCCUACGGGAGGCAGCAGUGAGGAAUAUUGGUCAAUGGGCGCGAGCCUGAACCAGCCAAGUCGCGUGAAGGAUGACUGUCUUAUGGAUUGUAAACUUCUUUUAGACGGGAAUAACAAGAGUCACGUGUGACUCCCUGCAUGUACCGUAUGAAUAAGCAUCGGCUAACUCCGUG
rnacentral:rRNA from 1 species